AUCUAUCAAUGCAUUUCCAGUAAAUAUUUAAAUAAUAAAGGGUCUCAAUGAAUGAUGUGCAGUGUCACAUGUUUAGUGUAAAUUGUCACAUGACCAGAGCUGUUUACUUCCUGGUUGCACCAUGAGAAGAGGAUGGCUGCAUCAAAGUUCCCAAACAAAAGGUUAGUAAAGUAUGUUAAAAUAAAGUUAGGACAAAGAUGUUUGGUACACAUCAUCUUUAAGGUGUCUAGUUAUGAUAUAUGCAUUUGCAAUUACUCAACUUUGUUCAGUGUGGUCAUAGAAUGUGUAAACAUGUUGACGGCAACAAUAGUGACCAGCGGGAUUAACACAGUGCAUCUUGGUAUACACAUACUGAUACACAGACAUAGUUCUUGUUCUACCUAACUUUCUACUCUGUUCUUUCUUUUAGUUUGACUUUGAGUCCAGUUCUGGAUAUGUUGGAUCUAGGUGACUGCCCAGACAAGGCAUGCAACAUUAUCCCUCAAAAUGAGAAAGAUGCUGUCCUGAGUGAUUGUGAUAGCGAUGGGUCAGAUAUGGACUAUGGACAGGCCAUUUGCCAGCCAGGCUGUUGAAUACAUAUGCUGAACCUAUGCAAACAGACCAUGACAGGAACAACGUUAUCAGUGAUGAUGACCUACCCCUCACCACCCUCCCCCAUCCACAACCUCCCCCACUCCCCUCCAUUGUUGUUAAUGAAGAGCCAAGGGCCUCUACCCGCCAGAGGGUCCAGUCAGAAGAGCCAAGGGCCUCUACCCGCCAUAGGGGUCAGCCAGAAGAGCCAAGGGCCUCUACCCGCCAGAGGGUCCAGUCAGAAGAGCCAAGGGCCUCUACAAGCCAUAGGGGUCAGCCAGAAGAUCCAAGGGCCUCUACCCGCCAGAGGGUCCAGUCAGAAGAGCCAAGGGCCUCUACAAGCCAUAGGGUCCACUCAGAAGAGCCAAGGGCCUCUACAAGCCAGAGGGUCCAGUCAGAAGAGCCAAGGGAAAAGCUGCAGGUGGUCAAAAAUAAAGAUUGAGCGUUCAAACGAUCAAAGAGGCCUGAUGUGA
rnacentral:lncRNA from 13 species